ACUCACGAAACUGUGAGCUCGUGACCUGAGCCGAGAUCAAGAGUCGGACUCUUAACUGACAGAGCCACCCACGCGCCCCUAAACCUUGUGUGUUUUCUAUGAAUCCUGCUUUGGUCGCCGAAGCCCCAUCCAUGAUUCUCUUUGACACAAGCUUCUCCCUACUUUGGGCUUCUCGGGUUGUUAUGGGACAGCAAGAUUCUCGGAGACCCUUUGUCUGGCUGAGAAGAUCCACCAGCAAUCACUACCUUAAAUCUUCCAGAGGUCCUGGAGUUCUUGCACUCCCGAUUCAAAGGGGGGACAUGUUCACACUCUUACUGGGAACAACGCUAGUUGCACAUGGAAAGGAACCCACCUUGAGGGUAAGAAACUAAGGCUGAAAGAGAAGGACUUGGCCACAGUCAUAAACCAAAUGGUUAACAAAGCAAGAAGGAGCCAUUUUAUCUCUUCUAUUAAAGUUCAGAGUGCUUUCUGCAACAUCUCUCCCCUACGUGAUGUUGGAAAGGAACACGGCUUUAAAAUACGUUGUUCGGAAUAUCAGAGAUAAAUUAUCUUUGAAGCAAUCUUUUUUAUCAUUAUUCAUGUCAUCGUUAUCCCCCUUCAUUAUGUUCAGCAGAGCUGACUGUGCUAGAAAGAUCUAAAGUCAGAGAACAACAAUCAGUGCAGAGUUGGAAAGGAAGCCGCGGUGCCUGUGUUUCUGGAACAUCUGGAGGAAAAAGCAAAUGCCCUUCCUUUUGGGGUUUUAGGGAUCUUUUACUUUCCAUGAGUUUCCUCCCAAGUCAUAUAACAAACGCCUUCGAAACACCUUCGACACGUCCGACUCUAUUCUCCGCGUUGGAGAUUGGCCUUUGAGGUGCUCACGAGGUGGGAGUGUGGACAGUUGAUGGUUGGAAGUAUAAGCACGUAGUAGAACCGAGAAAGCAGCCCUGCUGGGAGCAGGUGAACAACACCUUGAAGAAAGAGCAGAAAUUCGCUAGGAGUUGGUAACUGGAAGACGACCUGGAAGAACAGACAAGACACGCUUCUCCGGCUGUUCCGGUUACUGAUCUCUCUGACUCCUGACAGAUGGACCAUCAGACCCUCACCUCCAAGCCUGUUGCCGGUUGAAGCCACGCUCCUGAUUCCAUGUGUGCAAACUCACUUCAGAUUCUCAACCCAACUGUAAGGACAAGACUCCAAGGCCGAUCUGACGGAGACGAGGAAGAUACGAGACUGGCCACAUCUUUAAAGAGCAGGGGUCCCUCUGAACUGAACCACGGCCAACCUGUCCCACCAGGCGGAGACGACGAGCGAGAUUGCGCAUUCUGCGUCGGGCGGGCUCUGGGCGUGGCCUUGGGGCUCGUGGUUCUCAGCGAGGUGCCGGCCAGUUCCUGGGGACAGGUUCCAGAAAUGCUGGUCCACAGCCCGUCCCUGGAUCUGCUGAGCCUCAGCUCCAGAACAGGGCCUGGGAUCUGAUCUGCGCUCUCCGCCAGUGGUCUUAACGUGGCAUCCCCCUGCACACUUCUGCAGUGUCCCCCUCACAGGGCUGCUCUGGCUCAGGCUUGCAGGUCCAGUUUGUGACCCCGGAGGGGAACGUCUUCAACAACCUCGGCUCUGGUGUUACGUAGAUCGCCGAUCUGGACAUCCCCAUAAAAGCAUGGGCUUUGUGGUGGUGGCAGAUUGAUGUGCCAAUAAAUCCUGCUUGCUUCGCGUUCAAAGCUGUGUGACCUUGGACGUAAGCCCCUAAGACUCGGUUUCCUCGUCUGUGAAAUGGGCGUAAUAGGAAAACUGAUCUCGCAGGCUGGCGGGCAGAGGUCGAAGGUGGCGACGUAGUCAAAGGCAGAGGCGUUUCCGGAGGUCCCUGGGUGUUGGCAAGUGUCGCCCUCAGCCCAAUCUACGUCCUUUAAGACCUGCCCCAGACCGGCAUCCAUCCUCCGAGCCAACUCUCUUCACAUCCUCCCUGAAGCCCGUGACCCUGCCCCUGAACAUCUCAUCUCCAAGCUAAACAUCCCUGUGGACCCACGCGAGCCGGUGGUGUUUGCCAUUCCCGGAGGUAUCUCAUUUUACAGCCGGGCAAACCCCAGCAUGCCAAGUUCACGUCCUCGCAAAGUCAUGCGGUGACAGAAAUGUCCGGGCAGCAGGUGGCAAAAUGGUGUUGUUAUCGGAACCCCACAGAUAAUCAGGCCUCGCUUCUAUAAUUCUCCAUCUAGUUCGCGGUUUCGAAUUUGCAAGGGCUUUCUGCGCCCCUUACCUCGUCGUUCAGCCCUCCAAGGCCCCUGCGCGGGGUGAGGUCGUUGGGGGAGCUGAACGCCACGCCCUUGGGUAGGACCUCGCCUUUUUGAAACGUUUCCACGUCCAUGCUGGCCCUGGGUCUUUCUCGCACCCUCCGGAGAUGGAAAGGGCAGGAAUUAUCAGAGGAAGAAACCGAGAGACGGAGCGGGCUGGCACGGGUCCCACGGAGCCGUUGACACAUUCAGGUGUCGGACUGGGACCCAGGGUCCCUUCAACACCUGCGCUGGUCCUUGGCCUGACUUUCUUCUCCUUUUUUCUCCUCCCGUUCUGGGCUGUGAGGACAAAACUGGCAAACAAUGCCCCCAAACUGUGUUCUAGUCAGUAAGAACGACACAGCUUCCAAAACUACUGCUGUUUUUAAAUUUAUUGACCUGAGUCAUUACAUCCUUCACUCAAGGGCAAGGUCUAGCCGCACCAUCACACCUGUGUACGCGUUCUGACCGGCACGAGGCCCCACAGCACGCACCCAAUGCCUCCAGGGCAGACCGGAUGGCCGCCGUGGCUCAGGUUCAAGUCUGGGCCGAGCCUGAGCGCUCCUCCCCCCCAAGUGGGGGUCAAGAGACUUGGCCAUCUGUGGACUCCCUCCCUUUUGCUUCCUGCUCAUUGGCAGACCCUAGGGCUGGAGCUGGUGGCCGUGAGCCUGUCGGCCUGCCCAGUGACUCCUGCUCCGGCCGUGGCUGGGCUCCUUUCCCGUCCCCGAGGGAAAGAGGAGACACAGACUCCACGUAGCCCCUUGUGCCUCCCGCAUCACGGAGGGGACUGCUCGGGCUGGGGACGCAGCCAGCCGUGUUGGGAGUGGUCUGUUGGCUCAGGGGGGCGGAAAUGGAGGGACGGGAAGCCAGUCUGCAGAUCAGCAGGGGAGAAUCCUCCCCCACCCCUGCCCCAGGUGGCGUCCCUGUAAAAGUGUCGUCGUGCCUGUCCAGGUGUCGCUGGGGAUAGAAGCUUUGGAAACAGAAUCACAGCACAGGUGGAAGACCGAACAAAGUCAAGUGUAGGCAGAAACUGAGGGUGUCUGUGGGGAUUAUUUCAAGGAAGCAAAAGGGUAAAGAAUAAAGGAUCAGGGCUCUGCCCCUGGUUCAUUGCUUUCUCCUUCCCGUCCCUAUUUCAGGCUUCUGUCUUUUGGUCGCUGUGGGUACCGUUCACCCCCCCCCAUCGUAUCUGUAAGUGGCUUGGUUGUGUCUUCGGUAGAGUUGACCCCCUGAAUUCUGUGUGUGUGGUGAUGGGUCAGGGCGUGAUGAGCUCACGAAGCACGAGCGAGUCUAGAAAAGGCAAGGUCAGGUUGAAGCCGAGGCUGGGGAGGAAACCAUACCGGGGAACCAACGGGGGGAUGGGCGGAGGGAGGCACGAGGAAGAUCCGGUGAUUCUGCGCCCGGUACGUUUGCGUCGUUGCGGAGUUUGUCAACUGAGACUGGCUUCUGAUCCUUUUUGUUUUCUUUCUCUCAGCGAGGCUUCCCUCCCCUCACUGUUUUGUUCUUUCCAAGAUACACCUGUUGAGGGCUAACGUCUCAAGUGACUAUUGAAAGAGAGCUAGCAGACUGGUUUCCCGAUGUUGGAAGUGCUUUGGAAGAUGUUCAGUCUUGAGCAACAUUGCGGGAAGGAAGACACUCGGAUUUCGCCGAGUUGGACUCGAGUCUCGGUCUUACUUCUUUUUUUUUUUUUUAAUUAAUAUAUAUUUUUUCAUAGCAGUUUUCAGUUCACAGCAAGAUUGGGCCGAAGGGACGGAGAUUUCCCAUGUAUGCUCUGUGCACACGCCUGGACAGCUCCCUGCCCCACUGACAUCCGCCACCCCCCCCCGCCCCCCACACUAGAGUUGGUACAUUUGUCUUAAUUGAUGAACCUACAUUGACACAUCAUUAUCACCCCAAGUCCAUAGCUGGCUGGAGGGUUCACUCGGGGUUAUGCGUUGUAUGGGUUUGGACAAAUGGGUAAUGUCAUGUAUCCAUCAUCAGAGAGACCCAUGGAGUAGUUUCACUGCUCUAAAAAUCCUCUCUGCUCUGACAGUUCACCCCUAACUCCUCCCUGACCCCUGGGCACCACUGAUCUUUUUAUCGCUUCCAUAGCUUUGCCUUUUCCAGAAGGGCAUAUGUUGGAAUGGCCUUGCUUUUUUAUGAUUAGGUCGAACCAUGUGAAACUGACAUUUUGUAUAAGUCCACAUCGGCUGGAUGUGUCGCCGGGCAUCUCCCACGCCCUCCUGCCCGUGUCCGUGGGUCCUACUGCAGAGUCAAGCCCCUUUUACCAUCCCAGCUUCCCUACUCAGUCCCCACGUCCUAUAGUGUCUGCCUGUGAAGUCUCUAGAAUCAUGCUGGUUUUCUCUUUCUCUCUGGUAUUGUCUCUGUCCAGACCCUCAUCCUGAUCCGGCUGGGCUCUUGCAAUCACCCCCGAGUGUUUUCCAUUCCUCUUAAUGGAAGCAGAGGUAAUGUUUAAAAUCUAGCUCUAGAUCAAGAUCGACCCUCCCCCGCCCCCCCCCCCCACCAUGGAUUAUUCUCUGCUGGAUGACUUCCCCUGCCUUCCCACUGCCUGUGAGUCAGGACCUGGAUGCCACAGCAGGGCCACCGGCAGGGUCUUGUGAUCUGGACCCUCCCUCCACCCUCCAGCUCUGCUCCCUGACUCCCCUCUGCAGACGCAGGCACCCAGCCCUCACACGCUCCCCACCUUCCCCACGCUCGGUGCCUUUGCGUACAUUCUGCUCUUUGUCUUAAUGGCCUCCCCCCUCCCCCUGAAAAAAUCCUGUUCCUCGCCCAAGACCCAGCUCAUCCCCUCCUUGCCCUCAACAUCCGGGUCUCUCGGCAUUUCCUGUUGUGCGUUUGCGCGACUGUAUCCUGCACUUGACCACGAGCCAGGAGCGAGGACUCUGCCUUAUUUAUCUCUGCGUCCCCAGUGCCAGCAUUUGGAAGAAGCACUGUGUGUGUACCCUGAUCAACGUUCUCUACCAACCGUUCAGGGCCACCAUCAAUCUCCCGCGACGCCAGUCAAUCAGUCCCAAAGCUGGCAGAGGAGGGGAGGAAAAGCCAUGUGAAGAUUCAGGGAGGAGACUGGCCACCCGCAAGCCAGGGGCCUCGGGGGAAACCAAACCUGCCAGCCCCUUGAUCUUGGACUUCCAGCCUCCAGAACUGCGAGAAGCAUCCGUCUGUUGCGUAGCCCUUAGGAGGGUAUGAGGAACCGAACUGCACAGCAGUCGAGUGACUUUCAAAACGCUGCACAGCUCCGAAGGGCCGGAGUUUGAUCUCAAUCUCGAGUCCCUUGGCAACAUAGGAGAAUGGCUGGAGGGGACACGUGGGCUGUCAGGCCGGCCUGGAUUAUACGGCAGUAGAGAGGCUAUCCCACCAGUUGAGAAGAUUGAGGGAAAAUAAGAAAAAGGUAAGCUGGUAGAAAGCAGUAUUUUGUGGGCUAAAGAGUGGCGUGGCAAGGCCGCCACUGGCCAAGGAAUCCUUCCCGGGCUGAGCUGUCUUUCUGUGACCCAUUCUGUCUACUGGACCUUGCACUCCAGAUCCCUCCGGCGGCCAUGUUCACACUUGGAUUCGGGCCUCCGGAAGCUGCACCUGUGGGUUCUGGCCCCGCCUCUAACUGGGGUCUCGGUGCCCACCCAUUCCCGCCUGGCCAGAUACUCUCGGCCUUGGGUUUUAUAAUGAAAUUCUCCCAUCCCUGCUCUACCCGUUGAGCUGUCUGCUCAUCUCCUGCCUCCAACCUGUCUCCCCAUCUCUCUGAUCCCGUGCUGGGCGUCACCCUCUGACUGCACCCCCGUGGGGCGCCCCGGAAAACCUUGCCUCAAGGAGUUGGCCUCUUGGCUGAGCUUUGGGGCCAGGACCCAGCCCCAGCAGUCCGUGGCCCUUUCCCUGUUGACAUUGUCCUGUCUUCUGGCUUCUGGUGCCUUCUUGGAUCCCACUGCGCUCCCGUCCGCUCUGUCCCGCUGACCUGCUCUUCAGCACACCAGGACAUCCCAGCCGGAAAUUUUUGACCUCUUCCAGCCAGCAGGAGCACUCAGCCUGACCCAGACGCCUCUCCCCGCCUGACCCCGAGGAACCGCAACAUUUCCCAAGUCAGCAGCCACGUCUUCCAAAGGGUUACUCUGGCCUUUUCCCGCCAGGGUGGAUUAUACCUGCGACAGAAGUUGUUCACUGGAGAACCCUUUGCUGUGCCUGAAAUGGUUUUCAGGUGGCAAGAAUGCACUUGAUUCAUGGACAGGCAUUUUCCACUGGAGAGGACAAAUUUUAAGUCCCUUUUCUGCACUGCCGUAAGUCAAAGGACUGUCAUAUUAAAAAACAGUAGGGGAAACGUGAA